rnacentral:rRNA from 1 species
UACGUAGGGCGCAAGCGUUAUCCGGAAUUAUUGGGCGUAAAGAGCGUGUAGGCGGUCCGGUAAGUCAGCUGUGAAAGUCAAGGGCUCAACCCUUGAAUGCCGGUUGAUACUGUCGGGCUAGAGUCCGGGAAGAGGCGAGUGGAAUUCCCCGGUGUAGCGGUGAAAUGCGCAGAUAUCGGGAGGAACACCAAUGGCGAAGGCAGCUCGCUGGGACCGGUACUGACGCUGAGACGGCGAAAGCGUGGGGAGGCAAACAGG